rnacentral:rRNA from 1 species
GGCUCAGGACGAACGCUGGCGGCGCGCCUAACACAUGCAAGUCGAACGGAGCUUAGAGAGCUUGCUUUUUAAGCUUAGUGGCGAACGGGUGAGUAACGCGUGAGUAACCUGCCCUAGAGUGGGGGACAACAGUUGGAAACGACUGCUAAUACCGCAUAAGCCCACGGUACCGCAUGGUACUGAGGGAAAAGGAUUUAUUCGCUUUAGGAUGGACUCGCGUCCAAUUAGCUAGUUGGUGAGGUAACGGCCCACCAAGGCGACGAUUGGUAGCCGGACUGAGAGGUUGAACGGCCACAUUGGGACUGAGACACGGCCCAGACUCCUACGGGAGGCAGCAGUAGG